UACAGAGACUGCAAGCGUUAUUCGGAUUCACUGGGCGUAAAGGGUGCGCAGGCGGCCGGGUGUGUCAGAUGUGAAAUCCCGAGGCUCAACCUCGGAACUGCGUCUGAAACUACUCGGCUAGAGUACUGGAGAGGGUAACGGAAUUCACGGUGUAGCAGUGAAAUGCGUAGAUAUCGUGAGGAACACCAGAAGCGAAGGCGGUUACCUGGACAGUUACUGACGCUCAGGCACGAAAGCGUGGGGAGCAAAAGGG
rnacentral:rRNA from 1 species